AUUGAACGCUGGCGGCAUGCCUUACACAUGCAAGUCGAACGGUAACGGGCCUUCGGGUGCCGACGAGUGGCGAACGGGUGAGUAAUGCAUCGGAACGUACCUUUCAGUGGGGGAUAACGUAGCGAAAGUUACGCUAAUACCGCAUAUUCUGUGAGCAGGAAAGCAGGGGAUCGCAAGACCUUGCGCUGAUUGAGCGGCCGAUGUCAGAUUAGCUAGUUGGUGAGGUAAAGGCUCACCAAGGCGACGAUCUGUAGCGGGUCUGAGAGGAUGAUCCGCCACACUGGAACUGAGACACGGUCCAGACUCCUACGGGAGGCAGCAGUGGGGAAUUUUGGACAAUGGGGGCAACCCUGAUCCAGCCAUGCCGCGUGAGUGAAGAAGGCCUCGGU
rnacentral:rRNA from 1 species